CUGCAGAGAGGUGUGAGGAGGUGCAGAGCUAGCAAUUUGGUUGUUUGCUGUGGAUAUCGUUUGGACACCCCAGCAGGCUUUAUUCCAGGACAGUCAGGAGGAUUCCUGUUACCCCGGAGCAGAGCCAUUUUAGGAGCUUUUACUACAUUUGUAGAGAUGUCAAGGGACAAGCAGACCCGAUCCGCCCCUUCCCCCACCCCCUCGGAUCUAUCCCUGCAUAGCAAUGAGGAGUGGGAGCCAACCCAGGAGGCGGAUGCGACCGACCAGGCAUCUAGUGACCAGCCGCGGUCGUCAAGGGCCCAUGAGAAGUCCAAGAAAAAGCCUAGUAAAAAGGCAAGAAGCCAGCCAGAGGAGCAGUCGGAGGAGGAAGCCUCUGGUGAAGAUGCAGGACAGAAAAAGCCGCGUGGACCCAGAUACACUGAGGCGGAAAACUGUGUCCUAGUGGAUUGCGUCGACAGGUCCUACGACGUUUUGU